rnacentral:lncRNA from 1 species
UUCGGUGACACAAAUCCUAUUCCAAAAUUGCCUCCUAAUUCUUUACGCUUUCCUUCAGAUUUCUUAUUCAAAUUUCUGCAUAUUGAUUCCUGCUUCUCUUUGAAGCAUAUGAGAUCUAUGAUUGUUGCUUGAUUUUUUCUUGGUUUAAUGAACCGUCUUUGCUUAGUAAUGGGACUUUGUUAGGUAUUAAUUUUUGUUUCUCGCUCUCUUUUGUACGUGCAUCCAAUAGUUGUAUCUCAUUUGAUUUGAACAUAGAUACAUAGAUGGGUUAUUUUUGAUAUAUUAUUGUUUCUCAUUUUGCUUGGGUAAGAUUGUUUUGGGAGUAAAUGGGUUCUUCAAGGAUGAAAUUAGCAGUAAAACUGUUAUCAUAUUUUCUCUGUGACUGUUGAUUUGGAAUCUUUAUUCUGCUCAUGAAGUUAUAUGUGAAUAUGUGCAUUUGGUCCCCAUUCAGUGAAUAUGUUAUUUGACAUAUGAUCCACACCUCUAUGAUUUUUUUCCCUCUUUAAUUCAUAUUUUUUGUGUGAAUGUGAUUGUUGUUCAAAUAUAGUAAUGAAACAUAGAAGAAUUUUGAUGCAGUCAAGGCAUUUGACGAUAUGACCGAAACAACUGAAUAAUUUUUAUCCUUUCUAUUUCCACAGGUAUUCAGCAACAUACACACUCGUCAUCCAUUAAGCAAAAGGUACGUUAUUUACUUUUAUAAAAUUAGUAAACAAUAUAGUACAUGUUAUGUGUUAUUUGUCGGUCAUGUUAAAGAAAUUAUUCUUUCAUUUGGUUCCAAUAUAUCUAUAUUACAUUAUUUGUACUGUCUGUUUCACUUGGUUUUUGGAACAUAACUACCUAUAUACAAAGACACUAUGGAUUGAGUAACUAAAUCUCAAUUGAACAGGAAACGGCGACUCUCUCAGUGUAUGCUCUGAGGGGCUUCGAG